CGCGGGCGGUAGGUGCGGCGGCCCUCGGCCUGCCCAGGGCACCGGCGGUUCCUUCUCGUUGGCUGCAGCCUGGUCAUCGGCACGACCGGCUCCCGGCGAGCGAGUUGCCCUUCCUUCUGACUUAGGAUGAGCAGUGGCUGCCCUCUCCCCAGCCACCGUGUCUGGUAUCAGCACCCCCGAGGCCUUCCGAGGCCUCAUCCUCUGCCUGCUGCCCGGAUCGACCCCAGGAGCCUAAGUCUGGUCUUAGCCCCAGCGGCCUGGCUAGUUAAGCGGUGAAUUGAGAACAUCCACAACAUCACCAAGAGUCUUCUCCUUUCAAUCUACUGAAAAUGCCAGUGAGCCACCUCCCUCAGUCAUCCAUCUUCGGGAUGUUACAUGCUCCCAGUCCUGGGGAGGGUCUCAGGGAAAGGCCAGUUGUACUCAACACACGUGGUGAUACUUGGAACAACUUGCUUGCCUUACCACUGCACCCUUUUCCAGAAAUCUGCUGUUAGUCCAGGGCCUCCGGAAUCAUAUUGAAAACCAGUUGGUGUAAAAAGCUGGCUGCUGCAAUCAGGGCAGAGACUUGGAUCGAAAUGGUGCAAAGUGGCACAUGGCAACCAAGAGCAAGUAGUGCUGCAUCAACGCAGAGCAGCUCCGAGUGUGUUUUCCAGCCUCUUGCCAGCCUGAGUCCAUUUUUGCUGAUUAUCUGGAGGUGGCAACCAGCUUUUACACAGGUCGGUGAAACAUCUGGAUCCCAGCGCUGCAUCUUGCUACAGAAGCGUAAGCUGCCACACAGCAGGACAGUUGACUGCGCAUCUGCUUGCGAGCACCAGUUUCUGCCCACCGGCUGGCACCGCAGGUCUUGCCACGGUCCAGCUCUGCUGCAAGGUCAUGCUGGAGGGGCGGCUUUAGGGUACGGCUCAGCUCAUCAAACCACCGGCAAAUCCAGUUCCCCUCAUCCCUUGCUUCGAUGCUCACUGGCACGGUGAGUCAGGGCGCCCAACCAGCCCAGCCAGAAGCUAUUUUUAUUUUUUGCAAUGAGCUGUGGGUUGCUUCGGCUCCCUGAAGGGCGAUAUCGCCGUGUGGUCAGUGAGUACCGGUGCCAGCGCUGCAGUCCUGCCCGGCCACAGGUGCGAUGGGGAGGGGAACGGGGACCCGACUGCGCCCCUCGGGUGCUGUGGCAGGCAAAUGGGCUCAGCCACAUCGCAAAACCACACGCUUAAGAUUACUCCCUUUGCAUUGCAUCUAGUGAUGACAUGACCGUGGGAUGGAUGUGUUCAGUAAGCUGAUCAGAUUGAUCAGAAGCGUCCCAGAAAGUACUUAGCAGUUUUCGGUUGGAUCUGCUAGUUGAACUGACGCAACCUGGCAGCCUCUCAUCACUAAAUCUGGCGUAGGAUGGAAGGAGAGGGCACAGCUGGGGCGGCUUGGGAUGGGAUCACCCUACUGUGACCACCCUGUUUAGAUCAGCUUAAACAAAACGCUGCACCCAUGGGGCAGAGCUGCCAGAAGCUGCAGUCCGCACCCUGCCUGCUCCCCCCUUCUCUGAUCUGUCAACCGUGGACGCCUGCCCUGGCCCCAACGAGCCAACUAAAAAGCAACUACUAAAAAGCAACUACAUGCCUUUUUCCGGACUGUUUGGCAGCUGCAUCGGCUCAUUUAAGCUGGGAUUUAUGGCUCCCACAAGGGCCAGUCCCAAUGCGGAGGAGAUGUGAAGGCCAUCCCAUCCGGCUGGAGGUGGUGGGGAAGGACUGAAACGCCUCUUGGAGCAGCGGCAAGGUCUUGCGUCAGCCACCCUCCACCCGAGCCCUGGCUCUGCGAGGACUUCAUCGCUCUUCAUACCCACGUUUCCCCUGUCUUUGGCCCACUCCUUCUUAUCUGCGUGACCUUCUGCUCUGCUGGGGACUUCUCCUCUGCUCCUGUCUUCCUCCAGUCACUCACUGGGACCAUCCUGCUCCCUGCCCACCAAACCCUGAGGAGGUCAGGCAUCAGUUCGACCCGCUUAGGCUUGAACUGGUCCAGCAGGAACGAGCUCCUGCAUGGCGAUCCAUAACAACUCUGUUACAGCUGACACCUCCAGGGCUCCUUGUGUCCUUUUGCUGCCGGUGGCAGUGAUACACCCCUUUGCCACAGGAGAGUCCUGGAUUUUACGCGCUACAAACCCUAAUAAUAAUAACUCCCGGAAGAACU